ACAUGCAGUCGAACGAUGACUUUUGUGCUUGCACAGAAUGAUUAGUGGCGAACGGGUGAGUAACACGUGAGUAACCUGCCCCUGACUCUGGGAUAAGCCUGGGAAACUGGGUCUAAUACUGGAUAUGCACCGUAGACCGCAUGGUUUUUGGUGGAAAGAAUUUUGGUCAGGGAUGGACUCGCGGCCUAUCAGCUUGUUGGUGAGGUAAUGGCUCACCAAGGCGACGACGGGUAGCCGGCCUGAGAGGGUGACCGGCCACACUGGGACUGAGACACGGCCCAGACUCCUACGGGAGGCAGCAGUGGGGAAUAUUGCACAAUGGGCGAAAGCCUGAUGCAGCGACGCCGCGUGAGGGAUGACGGCCUUCGGGUUGUAAACCUCUUUCAGUAGGGAAGAAGCGAAAGUGACGGUACCUGCAGAAGAAGCGCCGGCUAACUACGUGCCAGCAGCCGCGGUAAUACGUAGGGCGCAAGCGUUAUCCGGAAUUAUUGGGCGUAAAGAGCUCGUAGGCGGUUUGUCGCGUCUGCCGUGAAAGUCCGAGGCUCAACUUCGGAUCUGCGGUGGGUACGGGCAGACUAGAGUGAUGUAGGGGAGACUGGAAUUCCUGGUGUAGCGGUGAAAUGCGCAGAUAUCAGGAGGAACACCGAUGGCGAAGGCAGGUCUCUGGGCAUCUACUGACGCUGAGGAGCGAAAGCAUGGGGAGCGAACAGGAUUAGAUACCCUGGUAGUCCAUGCCGUAAACGUUGGGCACUAGGUGUGGGGGACAUUCCACGUUUUCCGCGCCGUAGCUAACGCAUUAAGUGCCCCGCCUGGGGAGUACGGCCGCAAGGCUAAAACUCAAAGGAAUUGACGGGGGCCCGCACAAGCGGCGGAGCAUGCGGAUUAAUUCGAUGCAACGCGAAAAACCUUACCAAGGCUUGACAUGUGCUAGAUCGCC
rnacentral:rRNA from 1 species